AACGCACGAGACCUGCGGACCUGCGGAAGGAUCAUUACCGGAGAGAGGCGACUCUCGAAGGCCCCAAACCCACUGUGAACUUACCUCGGCUUCUAUGCUUCGGCAGGCGGUCCCAGGGGGGACCUUUGCGUGAUAGCGCCUGCCGGAGGACCCAAACUCGAUUUUUUUUCUGUUACCGUCUGAGGAGAUGUUAGGCCUCGUUUAAGGGGUCGAGAAUCGCUAAAAACUUUCAACAACGGA
rnacentral:misc_RNA from 1 species